GUCCUGAAGAAAUCAGGCUUGCUCGGCAGAUAGAUAGGAACCGCAAGUCUGCAUAUCUGGAGAUAUAACUUAUUUCUGAAGUGUGGAAUCCAUUCAUUGUGGAAUACAAGGAUUCUUUGGUUGAAAAGGAUUUAUACUGCCCUAUAGAGCUUUAUGAUGGCGAAAAGACUUUGUUCACAAUUGGCCUUCUUCCCCAUGUCAACAAUGAGUUCACUGUCAUACUUGAUGAUAUGCCUUUGAAGAGAAAUGACAAUCGUGGUGGAAAUGAUAGUUCUGCUGAAGGUGAGCGUAAGCGUUCUAGGCGCUCGUAUAAUGCAAAGACUAUCAAAGUUGAGCUUAGCUUUGCAGCUAAAAUCCCAAUGCAAUGCAUUGUGUUGGCUAAGAGACUGAAAACACACAGGAAGCAUUGGUAGUGCUUGAUAUCAUUUUGCGACAACAUGCUGCCAAGUAGUAUGCAUAUCAAGUUCCCUGCAUUUUUACCUUAAAUUAUUUUGGAAUUGUUGAAAUAGCUUGGUAAUUUUGUUUAUAAAAUUUUUAUGUAUGGGUGCCUGCUUAUACGCCAAGUUGAAGUUCUUUGCAUUCGAAUAUGUAUUGAUAUGGAUAUGGAGCUGGAUCCCACACUGCAA